rnacentral:rRNA from 1 species
GACGAACGCUGGCGGCGUGCUUAACACAUGCAAGUCGAGCGAUGAAGCUCCUUCGGGAGUGGAUUAGCGGCGGACGGGUGAGUAACACGUGGGCAACCUGCCUUAUAGAGAGGAAUAGCCAUCCGAAAGGAUGAUUAAUACCUCAUAAUAUUGUAGCUUCGCAUGGAGCAACAAUCAAAGGAGCAAUCCACUAUAAGAUGGGCCCGCGGCGCAUUAGCUAGUUGGUGAGGUAACGGCUCACCAAGGCGACGAUGCGUAGCCGACCUGAGAGGGUGAUCGGCCACAUUGGGACUGAGACACGGCCCAGACUCCUACGGGAGGCAGCAGUGGGGAAUAUCGCACAAUGGGGGAAACCCUGAUGCAGCAACGCCGCGUGAGUGAUGACGGCCUUCGGGUUGUAAAGCUCUGUCUUCAGGGACGAUAAUGACGGUACCUGAGGAGGAAGCCACGGCUAACUACGUGCCAGCCGCCGCGGUAACAC